rnacentral:rRNA from 1 species
AUUGAACGCUGGCGGCAGGCCUAACACAUGCAAGUCGAGCGGAGCGGUGGACGGGUGAGUAAUGCCUAGGAAUCUGCCUGGUAGUGGGGGAUAACGUCCGGAAACGGGCGCUAAUACCGCAUACUAUCAGAUGAGCCUAGGUCGGGUUGGCUAGUUGGUGGGGUAAAGGCCUACAAGGGCUACGAUCCGUAACUGGUCUGAGCGGAUGAUCAGUCAAACUGGAACUGGGACACGGUCCAGACUCCUAGGGGAGGCGGCAGUGGGGAAUAUUGGAAAAUGGGCGAAGGCCUGAUCCGGCCAUGCCGCGGAGGUGAGGAAGGUCUUCGGAUUGUAAGGCACUUUAAGUUGGGAGGCGUUACCAACAGAAUAAGCACCGGCUAACUUCGUGCCAGCAGCCGCGGUAAUUC